rnacentral:rRNA from 1 species
GACGAACGCUGGCGGCGUGCUUAACACACGCAAGUCGAACGGAAAGGCCCUGCUUUUGUGGGGUGCUCGAGUGGCGAACGGGUGAGUAACACGUGAGUAACCUGCCCUUGACUUUGGGAUAACUUCAGGAAACUGGGGCUAAUACCGGAUAGGAGCUCCUGCUGCAUGGUGGGGGUUGGAAAGUUUCGGCGGUUGGGGAUGGACUCGCGGCUUAUCAGCUAGUUGGUGGGGUAGUGGCUUACCAAGGCUUUGACGGGUAGCCGGCCUGAGAGGGUGACCGGCCACAUUGGGACUGCGAUACGGCCCAGACUCCUACGGGAGGCAGCAGUGGGGAAUAUUGCCCAAUGGGCGGAAGCCUGAUGCAGCAACGCCGCGUGCGGGAUGACGGCCUUCGGGUUGUAAACCGCUUUCGCCUGUGACGAAGCGUGAGUGACGGUAAUGGGUAAAGAAGCACCGGCUAACUACGUG